CCAUAGCUAGGGUUUGUUUCAAGCUUCCAAGCUCCAUAGUAAGUGAUUCCAAGCCCCGUUUUUAAUGAUUUUUACGUUUUUGAGAUCGCGGUAGCUCGAUUAAGCUUAUGCUAACAAUAAUUCAACUUAGGGUUCAUAUUUAGAAAAAUACCCAUAGGUGAAAUUUGUGUAUUUUGAUGUUUUAUGAUAGAAUAUGGGGUUUUAAAUUAUGUUAGACAACUUGUGCUACUCGGUUUUGAGUGAAAACGAGUAAAAGGGCUUAAUCGGUAAAAAUACCUAAUAGUCAUAAGUACAUGUUAGAGUGAGAAUUUGAUGUUUCCAUAGAAGAGAAAAGUGAUCAGCAUGUUGUAAAACAUAAGAAUAAGGAAUAAAGUUUAAUACGGAGCCUAGGGGCAAAAAUGUAAAUAUGCAAAAGUUUAGGGGCAAAAUUGUAAUUUUUCCAAAAUUUGAGUUAAGGAUUAAUUUGAUAAUUUGAGUAUUAAAUGAGCUAAAUGUGUUAUUUUAGAUCAACAAAGACGUGGAAUCGACCUCAAUCGAGGAAAAGAAAAGAUUGUGGACUAAAUUGCAAAAUCCUUGUAUUUUGGUACCAAGUUUUGGACAAGCCAGCUCAGGAGUCGUGAUAGGUCGAAGGCUCAGUCACACUAUCCGGAAGACUUUUGGUAAAUGGCUUGUAAAUUUAAGUAUGACAUGUAUAGCAAUAUACCUAUUUUGUGUAAAUGAUCUUAUGGUAUGGUUGUGGAAUGGUUGAGGAAAUGCUUGAUAAUGAUAAAUUAUGAAAAUGGUUAGUGUAGAUUAUGUUUGAUGUUAAGGAAAACUAUUAAGAUACUUAGUGCAUAAAAACUCAUAAAAAGGAUGAAAUUUGCCAUAAAUAGAAUACUGCAGCAACACUGACGCGAGUUUGAAAAUUUAUUAAAAAUCAUAGAAAUUUAAUUUGGUCAUGGAAUACAUAUCAAAUUGAAGCUUAUUAUGUCUAGUUUAACAUGAAACAAAUGAAACAGGUAAAGGAAUUAUAUGUUAGAAGAUAUUUGAAUUUUAGUGAAACAGGGUCAUAGCAGUUUUUGAAUCCCCUAUUCCAAGUUUAUAAAUUAAUUAUAAAUUAUAAAGAUAUAAUUAGGUUGUAUAUUUUAUAUCCUCAGAAUCCUUAUUGAGUCUAGUUUUAGUAGAAACAAAUCUCAUAGUCAUAUGAAUUUUUUACAGAGAGAAAUGUGGUUCGUAGUAAACAGAGGUCAGACCAGUCGAGUCCUGAAACAGGGGUAACUUUAACUAAUAAACUGUACUAAUUGGCCCAACCAAAAAUUCUAGAAAAAAUUUAGUAGAUAGGUAUAUGAGUCUAGAUUCAGGGAAAAUUUCUGGAUCUUUAUUUCGAGUUUCGUAACUCGAGAUAUGAUUUUUCUUGUGACUGUGACGCAAGUAGCUUAAAAGCUGUGAAUGUAGAAACAAUAAUCCAAAGUUCUAAAAAUGUUAAACUAAGCUUAGUAACACCUCAUACUCGACUCCGGCGAUGGUCUCGGGCGUGGGGGUGUUACAUUUAGUGGUAUCAGAGCAGGUUUAGUUGGUUCUUGGAAUACGUGUUGUAUGUACGAAUUUUGCUAUACAUGCCAUAUGUAUAAAUUGUGAUAGUGUGAUGACUUCUGACCUUUUUUAAAUGAUUUUUUUAUAGUAAAUGGAUCCCGAUCCAGCUGUGGCAGAUGAAGUAGAGAGUAAUGCGCCAGUUCCGGCUGAAGGAGCAGCGCCGACUGAAAAUCCGCCUUCUACUGUUGGUCAGGGAGGAGGAGAAAGGGGUCGGGAAGCCUUUCUCCAAAUGAUGAGUGCAUGGUACACUGAGUUCGUUCGUACGAACCCGAAUGUACAACCUCCCCCACCUCCCCCAAUUCCUCAACCUGUACCCCCGAUGCCUCAAGGUAUGGAUCUGAUGAAAUUUCAUAGAACUCCAGUUGAUAGAAUUCGCAAGCAAGGGGCCGAAGAAUUUAAAGCAAAUAUUGAUGAUGAUGUCGAGAGAGCAGAGUUUUGGCUUGAAAAUUCAAUCCGGGUAUUUGAGGAAUUAUCUUGUACACCUGAAGAAUGUUUGAAAUGUGCUACAUCUUUGUUGAGAGAUUCAGCCUAUAAUUGGUGGAUGACUUUGAUUUUAGUGGUACCGAAAGAGAGGGUAACCUGGGAAUUCUUUCAAGAAGAGUUUUGGAAGAAAUAUAUUAGUGAAAGAUUUAUUGAUCAUAAAUGUAAAGAGUUUCUUGAGCUGAAGCAAGGUAAUAUGACAGUCUCAGAAUAUGAAGGAGAGUUUGUUCGAUUAAGUAAGUAUGCCAGGGAAUAUGUUCCUGCAGAAGCCAAGAUGUGCCGACGAUUUGAAGACGGGCUUAACGAAGACAUUAAGGUAUUUGUUGGGAUCCUUGAAUUAAAAGAAAUGGUAGUAUUGGUUGAUCGAGCUUGUAAGGCCGAAGAAUUACUUAAAGAAAAGAAAAAGGUAGAGGCUGAGACUAGAAAUUGGAAGUAAAGACCGAUGAGCGGUUCAUUUUCACAGCAACCUGGAAAGUCAAGGAAUAUGAAUCCUCGUUCCCAAGCUUCAGCUGGGCAAUCAUAUGGGAAUUAUAGGAAGCAAAAUGUGGGUCCUAAAUCCCAGACUACUUCGAUAGCCAGUGUAGGGAACUCGAGAUUUGUUAAACCUGAGUGCCAGCGGUGUGGUAGAAAUCAUUUUGGUCCGUGUAGAGCAAAUGAAUGUUUUCGAUGUGGUUCUCCGGAUCAUUUUAUUAGAGACUGCCCAGAGAGAGCUGAAAAAGAAAAAUUUCAGAAUACAAAAACAAGUGGGGCGGAUUCGAGAGGAAGAUAUCCAAGAAAAGCUGGGAGCGAAGCAAGUAGUAAGAAUGAAGCCAGGGAUGCACCAGUUAGACCUGAAGGAAGGGCUCCAGCUAGAACUUAUGCUAUUAAAGCGCGUGAAGAUGCUUCCUCACUUGAUGUGAUUACCGGUACAUUUUCCCUCUAUAAUGUUAAUGUUAUUGCUUUGAUUGAUCCCGGUUCUACUCAUUCAUAUGUGUGCAUGAAAUAGGUGUCUAGUAUGAAUAUACCUAUUGAGAACACAGAAUUUAUGAUUAGAGUGUCGAAUCCGUUAGGUAAAUGUGUGACUAUCGAUAAAGUAUGUAAGAAAUGUCCUUUAAUGAUUCGGGAUCAUUACUUUCCGGCCAACUUGAUGUUGUUGCCGUUUGAUGAGUUUGAUGUUAUUUUGGGUAUGGAUUGGUUGACAUUGCAUGAUGCUAAAAUAAAUUGCAAAGAAAAGAUUAUAGAAUUAAAGUGUGGAAAUGGUGAAACUCUGCGGGUUGAAUCAGAUAAAUCAGAGGCAUUGCCUAGUGUGGUUUCUUCAAUGUCGGCUCAAAGAUAUCUGAGAAAGGGUUAUGAAGCUUAUUUGGCGUAUGUAAUUAAUACAAAAGAAGUUGAAAAGAAAGUUGAAUCAGUGCCGGUUGUGUGUGAAUUUGCGGACGUAUUUCCAGAAGAAUUGCCGGGUUUGCCUCCAGUCAGGAAAGUAGAAUUUGGUAUUGAUUUGAUACCGGGAACAGCUCCGAUUUCGAUUGCUCCGUAUAGAAUGGCACCAGCAGAGUUGAAUGAACUAAAGUCGCAGUUGCAAGAGUUGACUGAUAAAGGUUUUCUGAGACCGAGUUUUUCACCUUGGGGUGCUCCCAUGUUAUUUGUGAAAAAGAAGGAUGGUUUUAUGAGGUUGUGUGUUGAUUAUUGGCAGUUAAACAAGGUGACAAUCAAAAACAAGUAUCCGUUGCCAAGAAUUGAUGAUUUGUUUGAUCAACUAAAAGGAGCGACAUGGUUUUCAAAGAUUGACUUGAGAUCUGGGUAUUACCAAUUGCGGGUAAAAGAGUCGGAUGUGCCUAAAACUGCUUUUAGAACAAGGUAUGGUCAUUAUGAAUUUUUAGUUAUGCCAUUCGGAUUGACAAAUGCUCCUGCUGUGUUUAUGGAUUUAAUGAAUCGCAUAUUUCGGCCAUACUUGGACAGAUUUGUUGUGGUGUUUAUAGAUGAUAUUUUAAUUUAUUCAAAAGAUGAGACAGAGCAUGCUGAGCAUUUGAGGAUAGUUUUGCAAACUUUGAGAGAUAAGCAGAUGUAUGCUAAGUUUAGUAAAAGUGAAUUUUGGCUCCGGGAAGUUGGAUUUUUGGGUUAUAUUGUUUCAGGUGAUGGUAUACGGGUUGAUCCUAGUAAAAUUUCAGCCAUUGUUGAUUGGAAACCACCGAAAAAUGUAACUGAAGUUAGAAGUUUCUUGGGGCUAGCUGGGUAUUAUCGGCGGUUUGUAAAUGGAUUUUCUAUAAUUGCGGCUCCUAUAAGUAGAUUACUCCGAAAGGAUGUUAAAUUUGAAUGGACGGAAGAAUGUCAACAGAGUUUUGAAGAAUUGAAAAAGUUAUUAACAGAGGCACCAGUGUUAGUACAGCCCGAAUCAGGUAAAGAAUUUGUGGUGUAUAGUGAUGCUUCUCUAAAUGGUUUGGGGUGUGUGCUCAUGCAGGAAGGAAAAGUGGUGGCAUAUGCUUCGAGGCAGUUAAAACCUCAUGAGAGGAAUUAUCCUACUCACGAUUUGGAAUUGGCUGCAGUGGUGUUGCUUUGAAAAUUUGGCGACAUUAUUUGUAUGGUGAAAAAUGUCGGGUAUAUACCGACCACAAAAGUCUUAAGUACUUGAUGUCACCAAAAGACUUGAAUUUGAGACAACGAAGAUGGUUGGAGUUGUUGAAAGAUUACGAGCUUGUUAUUGAUUAUCAUCAGGGAAAAGCGAAUGUGGUUGCUGAUGCUUUGAACAGAAAGUUGUUGUUUGCUUUGAGAGUUAUGAACACUCAGUUGAAAGUGUCAGAUGAUGGUUCGAUUCUAGCAGAGUUAAGAGCAAAACCGAUGUUUUUGCAAGAGAUUUCUGAAGCUCAGAAAGAUGAUCAAGAUUUGCAAGCCAAGAGAAAACAGUGCGAAGUUGAUACAGAGUCAGAUUUCAAAAUUGGUUCUGAUGGGUGCUUAAUGUUUAAAGAUCGGAUUUGUGUACCGAAGAAUGAGGAAUUGAUUCAAAAGAUCCUACAGGAAACACAUAGUGGUUAUUUCUCGAUUCAUCCGGGUAGUACGAAAAUGUAUAAUGACUUGAAGAAAAUGUAUUGGUGGAAUGGAAUGAAAAGAGAUAUAUCAGAGUUUGUGUCCAAAUGCUUAAUUUGUCAACAGGUGAAAGCUGAACACCAAGUGCCUUCGGGAUUACUUCAGCCUAUUAUGGUUCAUGAAUGGAAAUGGGAUCGGAUUACUACGGAUUUUGUUUCAGGAUUGCCAUUGACUCCAGGAAAGAAAGAUGCCAUCUGGGCAAUAGUUGACAGAUUAACUAAGUCGGCUCAUUUUAUCCCGGUAUGUAUGGAUUAUUCUCUUAACAAGCUGGCUGAACUAUAUAUUAGAGAAAUUGUUAGAUUACACGGAAUACCAUUGUCGAUUAUUUCAGAUAGAGAUCCAAGGUUUACCUCGCGGUUUUGGCAAAAGUUGCAAGACGCGUUAGGUACAAAGAUAAAUUUCAGUACUGCUUUUCAUCCACAAACUGAUGGACAAUCAAAGAGAGUAAUUCAGAUUCUUGAAGACAUGCUCAGAUGUUGUGUAUUGGAAUUUCAAGGAAGUUGGGAAAGAUAUUUGCCGUUGGUAGAAUUUGCUUACAACAAUAGUUAUCAGACGAACUUGAAAAUGGCACCUUAUGAAGCAUUGUAUGGUCGUAAGUGUCGAACGCCUUUGUAUUGGACUGAACUCAAGGAAAAUCAGAUUUAUGGAGUUGAUCUAAUAAAAGAAACUGAAGAAAAAGUGAAGGUAAUUCGAGAUUGUUUGAAAGCUGCUUCAGAUAGAAAGAAAUCUUAUGCAGAUUUAAAACGAAAGGACAUUGAAUUUCAAGUUGGUGAUAAAGUAUUUUUAAAGGUGUCUCCGUGGAAGAAAGUCCUUAGAUUUGGACGGAAGGGCAAAUUAAGUCCGCGUUUUAUUGGACCGUAUGAAAUAAUUGAAAAAGUUGGACCGGUAGCAUAUCGGCUAGCGUUACCACCCGAAUUAGAGAAGAUUCAUGAUGUGUUUCACGUAUCUAUGUUACGCCGGUAUCGUUCGGAUCCUUCACAUAUAAUUUCACCGACAGAAAUUGAACUGCGACCGGAUAUGACUUAUGAAGAAGAACCGAUUAAGAUUUUAGCUCGAGAAGUCAAACAACUAAGAAAUAAAAGUGUUGCACUUGUGAAAGUGUUGUGGCAAAAGCAUGGGGUAGAAGAAUGCCUAAAGUGCUUAAAUUGAAAGUAGGGACUAAAUCGAAUAAGUUGUAAAACUUGCAUUCUAGAAGUUUUUAGUAUGAAAUUGUUUUGGAAUAUUAAUGAGGAGGUCUUAAAUAACAAUUUGACCAAUUUUAAGUUCAUGGACAAAAUUAGGGCAUGGAAGGAAUUUUUGGAAAGUUUAGUAGUAAGGGUAUUUUGGUCAUUUAGUUAUUAAAAUGAAUUAAAAACAAAAUUAAAAGCCAAUUUUUGUCCAUCUUCUUCAUUAGGCCGAAAUUUUAAGGGUUCUCCAUAGCUAGGGUUUGUUUCAAGCUUCCAAGCUCCAUAGUAAGUGAUUCCAAGCCCCGUUUUUAAUGAUUUUUACGUUUUUGAGAUCGCGGUAGCUCGAUUAAGCUUAUGCUAACAAUAAUUCAACUUAGGGUUCAUAUUUGGAAAAAUACCCAUAGGUGAAAUUUGUGUAUUUUGAUGUUUUAUGAUAGAAUAUGGGGUUUUAAAUUAUGUUAGACAACUUGUGCUACUCGGUUUUGAGUGAAAACGAGUAAAAGGGCUUAAUCAGUAAAAAUACCUAAUAGUCAUAAGUACAUGUUAGAGUGAGAAUUUGAUGUUGCCAUAGAAGAGAAAAGUGAUCAGCAUGUUGUAAAACAUAAGAAUAAGGAAUAAAGUUUAAUACGGAGCCUAGGGGCAAAAAUGUAAAUAUGCAAAAGUUUAGGGGCAAAAUUGUAAUUUUGCCAAAAUUUGAGUUAAGGGUUAAUUUGAUAAUUUGAGUAUUAAAUGAGCUAAAUGUGUUAUUUUAGAUCAAGAAAGACGUGGAAUCGACCUCAAUCGAGGAAAAAAAAGAUUGUGGACUAAAUUGCAAAAUCCUUGUAUUUUGGUACCAAGUUUUGGACAAGCCAGCUCAGGAGUCGGGAUAGGUCGAAGGCUCAGUCACACUAUCCGGAAGACUUUUGGUAAAUGGCUUGUAAAUUUAAGUAUGGCAUGUAUAGCAAUAUACCUAUUUUGUGUAAAUGAUCUUAUGGUAUGGUUGUGGAAUGGUUGAGGAAAUGCUUG
rnacentral:lncRNA from 1 species